UGCGGGGAAGCUCAGGAGGCGAGAGCAGCGGUCUCAUAAACCGAAGGACGCGGGUUCAAUUCCCGCCCCCGCAA
rnacentral:tRNA from 1 species